AUUGAACGCUGGCGGCAGGCCUAACACAUGCAAGUCGAGCGGAGCGGCGGCCGGGUGAGUAAUGCCUAGGAAUCUGCCUGGUAGUGGGGGAUAACGUCCGGAAACGGGCGCUAAUACCGCAUACUCUCAGAUGAGCCUAGGUCGGAUUAGCCAGUUGGGGGGGAAGAGGCCGACAAAGGCGACGAACCGUAACUGGUCUGAGGGGAUGAUCAGUCACACUGGAACUUAGACACGGUCCAGACUCCUACGGUAGGCAGCAGUGGGGAAUAUUGGACAAUGGGCGAAAGCCUGAUCCAGCCAUGCCGCGUGUGUGAAGAAGGUCUUCGGGUUGUAAAGUUCUUUCGGUGACGAGGCGUUACUCACAGAAGAAGCACCGGCUAACUACGUGCCAGCCGCCGCGGUAAUUC
rnacentral:rRNA from 1 species